rnacentral:rRNA from 1 species
CCUACGGGUGGCAGCAGUGGGGAAUAUUGGACAAUGGGGGCAACCCUGAUCCAGCCAUGCCGCGUGUGUGAAGAAGGCCCUCGGGUUGUAAAGCACUUUCAGUGAGGAAGAACGCCUGGUGGUUAAUACCCAUCAGGAAAGACAUCACUCACAGAAGAAGCACCGGCUAACUCCGUGCCAGCAGCCGCGGUAAUACGGAGGGUGCGAGCGUUAAUCGGAAUUACUGGGCGUAAAGCGCGCGUAGGUGGCUUGAUAAGCCGGUUGUGAAAGCCCCGGGCUCAACCUGGGAACGGCAUCCGGAACUGUCAAGCUAGAGGGCAGGAGAGGAAGGUAGAAGUCCCGGUGUAGCGGUGAAAUGCGGAGAGAUCGGGAGGAAUACCAGUGGCGAAGGCGGCCUUCUGGACUGACACUGACACUGAGGUGCGAAGGCGUGGGUAGCAAACAGGAUUAGAUACCCCUGUAGUC